GGAGCCAGGGGUUCCAGCAGGUGUACGCUCUUUGCAAUGGUUUAUUUUUAUAAAAUAUUAUUUUUUCAAUGAACAAAUUUUCUUUAAGAUAAUUUUUUAAGGCUACACUAUUUACUUAUUGUCUACAUUGCAUUUUUGUUUUGUAUAUAUAAUAUUUAGUUAAUAGUAUUAUGAAAUUUCUUAUGUAGUUUUUUUCUGUUUUUUUCUAAUAUCCCAAAUAAGAC
rnacentral:lncRNA from 1 species